rnacentral:rRNA from 1 species
GACGAACGCUGGCGGCGUGCCUAAUACAUGCAAGUCGAGCGAAUCAGAUGGGAGCUUGCUCCCGGAUGAUUAGCGGCGGACGGGUGAGUAACACGUGGGCAACCUGCCCGUAAGAUUGGGAUAACUCCGGGAAACCGGUGCUAAUACCGAAUAGUUUCUGACACCUCAUGGUGUCAGAGGGAAAGUUGGCUUCGGCUAACACUUACGGAUGGGCCCGCGGCGCAUUAGCUAGUUGGUGAGGUAACGGCUCACCAAGGCGACGAUGCGUAGCCGACCUGAGAGGGUGAUCGGCCACACUGGGACUGAGACACGGCCCAGACUCCUACGGGAGGCAG